rnacentral:ncRNA from 1 species
UUUUGCUUGCCGCCGGGUAAGCUUUGAAGCAUUGAUUUCGUAUCGUUAGGCCGUUGGAGAUACGAAAAUCAAUGCUUUUUUCUAU